GUUUUCAUGCUUCAUGGGUCGUUUCAAAUAUCUUCCUUUAUUUUAAGCGUACCUGAGUAGCAGAAAACGAAUAAGCCUUUGAAUUUGUAGAAGAUCAUUCUCCGAAAGCCGAAAUUGCAUCUCCAAUUCGUUGUAUCACGUUCAACAUAGAAAAAUUAAAUUGAAUCAAUAGCAUGUAGAUCAAUUCAAUAAAAUAAUUAAAUUAAUCAUGAAAAGAAUGAUUAAAGACGUAAUACUCCCCAGAUUGAAGAUCAAACUCUCUUGUCAGCGCAGCGUCAAGAGUGUGUUGAUAACGUGUUGUAGGCAUAAUUUACUGAACAAUUAUGGAGGCCAUAGAGAGAGAGGGGUGCGGCAUGGAUAGAGAGAAAGAGAGAGAUGUGUAAUUGUGAGGUGUGUGUUAUCUCACCCCAUUGUGCCUUUAUUUAUAGUAGUAGGAAGGGUAAAACCUUUCCCUUUAGGAUUACAACAUUUAAUAGGUAAUCUAAUCCUAAUAGGAAUAUAAGAUACAUUCCCAUAUUUCCUAGGAUUUACACAAUCACCUUCCUAUUCUAAAUAGGACUGCAACAGCCACAACAAUAUAGGCCCUUUAUGCAAAGGGAUUCUCAUUUUUUUUUUCAAAAAAUAGGGAUUAGGUGUGGGGCCCACUCCACAUCGAACUUCAAUGAUCCGAAACCGUCUAUUUUGUAAGUCUCGUUUCAUAGAUCAUCCUUACAAAAAUUCAAUUCAAUACGAAACCAUUUGCCUAUUUAAUUAUCAAGAUAAAAUUUCAUUGUUUCUUAUAUAACAAAGUAAUCGUUAAUUUCUUUGAACUCAAUUAGAUGUCUUAAACAUUUCCGAUUUGGCUAAUACUUUGGAAGGAUGAUCUAUGAGGUGCAACUUGAAAAAUAGACCGUUCAGAUCGUUAAAGUUUGAUGUGGUGUGGACUCUACAACUAAUCCCCAUUUUUAUAACAAAAUGAGAAUCUCUUCCCUUAGGUUUCAUAUAUAUGGUUUUGACCCUUGAGACUGUUAGUUACUGCAUGAUGCCUUGAUGGAGUUUGUUGCAGCCUUUACUUCUCGUGUAGCUAUCCAACCGUUUGAUGCGCACACACACACAUUUUGACAAUACUUUUACACUUCCUUUGAACCAUUAGAUUUUAUAACAUCCAAGGAUCUUGAUUAAGAGUGUUUUAAAUCUCUUUAAUCAUUAAAUGAUAAGGAUGCUUACAUGGAAUUAAUUAAAUUAAAAAAUAUGAAGAGGAAAAAAAAAAAAAAAUCUGCAAACGUGAGAGAUGAAGAAGCACAAUCAUCCCUCCCCGCCAGCAACCAUAACCCAAUUACAAUUAACAGUAGUCUUACAUAAGCAAGAAGAGAUCUAAGAUUUUCCAUUAAUUCAUUUGUUAUCUAAAGUUCUGAACGAGUAACUGGAAAACUUCCUUGGUUAAUCAAGGACAUGCUUAAGAAAUUGAAAGUAGAUCAAUUUUAGGGUUUUAAAACUCCAUCCUAUGCAGAUUUUGAUUUUCCGGUAAGAUAUUCUUGCAACACUUGUCGGUUAAUAGCCUUAAUUCUUUCAUCUCCAUCGCCUUUUUCCUUCGUAAGUAGUCUACACUAAUUUUAUCCCUUCUCUAUCCUUUUUUUCAAUCCCACAUCAUGGGAGUUGGAAUCAAAGGGUCAUCAUCGACUACCAUCCAUGAAUUUGUGCAACGUAAGGAAAUGGUAGCAGCAUAAAAUGCCCAUGAGAUGAGACAUCAGUGAAAUUAGGGUGGAGAACAAAGGAAUGUGGAAGGGAGAUGGAAACUGGAAAGUUGUUUUAUAUUUUUCUCAUAAUAAUUUAAUUUAAUUUAAAUGUAAUUUAUGUUUACUUAUUUCCAUGCAAUUGCACAUCACCUACUAGUUUAAUACUUAUUAUGACCAUUAUAUAUAUCAAACGGUUGGAUAGCUACAUGAGAAGUAAAGGCUGCAGCAAACUCCAUCAAGGCAUCAUGCAGUAACUAACAGUCUCAAGGGUCAAAACUCCUCUCUACUCAUAUACCAAUUAAAAAUGUAUAGAAAUUAAGAAAUCUUUUCCAACUUCUUGUAUUCCCUUUCGCAGAAGCUAAGAUCCCGGUCAGCUAAUCAAUAUUUAUACCAGUACUGAUAGGAAUAUCUUACCCAACGGCUCAGUCCUCUCUGGACGUAUUACAUGGUGUGUCUCUAUUGUUUUUAUAUCCAAAAAAUUGAUAAAUACAGCCAACAAGAUAAGAACAUGUAAUUGACUUACAUGGUCCUCAUUGAAAGGUCGGCAUUCGUAAUAUGACUUAAGCUACCUAUGUACCAUUAGAAUGAGAGGUCCUUACAAAGAAAACAGCUUUAAUCAUUGAAAAUGGGUCAAGUACAUACAGAGAUCAAGUGGCUUGUACCCCAAAAAAAAAAAAAAAGCUAAAAGAGUUUGACAAUUAUUUUAAUUUCAAUUUUUUUUUAUUUGAAAAAACUAAAACUUGUUAUAAACAUUGUAUUUAAGUGUGAUUGUGUAAAUCUAUAUUAGAUUUGAUACUUGUUAUUCUUCCCUAUUAGGACUUGUAUUCCUUGGAGGAAAAGGAUUCGUCCCUCCCUUAUUACUAUAAAUAAAGCCACUGCAUAGGGGGAACAACACAUCCUCUACACAACCCUUCAAACACAUCUCUCUCUACUCUCUCUCUGUCGUGCCCCUUCUCCUCUGUUAGAUAAAAAUAAGCCACAACACAUAAUUAGCACACUCCCACCGCUACGCUUAGGAAUCUGAUGUGGAAGUUUUCUACAUCAAACUAGUUCAUCAAUAUCAUCACACAAUCAGGUUCUUCCAAAAUAACGGUUUUUAUUUUGAUAUUUUUGUAGCCUGAUAGCAUGAACAUUGACCAUCAUGAAAGACCUAACUUUACGUUUUUCAAAUUUUAGAUUCUACAUAAAUUGUGUACGCAUUAUAUUCAUAAUUAUUGAAUUAUGUGAAUUGGUAUUGCCAUGAAUUGCAUCAAAUAUAUGCUCAUGCAUUAAAUUAUAUGUUGAAUAUGCAUUGAAUUAAUAUGGAAUUAAAUUAAACAUUACAAAAA
rnacentral:lncRNA from 1 species